rnacentral:rRNA from 1 species
AUUGAACGCUGGCGGCAGGCCUAACACAUGCAAGUCGAGCGGAUGAAGGGAGCUUGCUCCUGGAUUCCGCGGCGGACGGGUGAGUAAUGCCUAGGAAUCUGCCUGGUAGUGGGGGAUAACGUCCGGACACGGGCGCUAAUACCGCAUACGUCCUGAGGGAGAAAGUGGGGGAUCUUCGGACCUCACGCUAUCAGAUGAGCCUAGGUCGGAUUAGCUAGUUGGUGGGGUAAAGGCCUACCAAGGCGACGAUCCGUAGCUGAGCUGAGAGGGUGACCAGUCACACUGGAACUGAGACACGGUCCAGACUCCUACGGGAGGCAGCAGUGGGGAAUAUUGGGCAAUGGGCGAAAGCCUGAUCCAGCCAUGCCGCGUGUGUGAAGAAGGUCUUCGGAUUGUAAAGCACUUUUAGUUGGGAGGAAGGGCAGUAAGUUAAUACCUUGCUGUUUUGACGUUACCAACAGAAUAAGCACCGGCUAACUUCGUG